rnacentral:sRNA from 1 species
AAGUGUUGUCCGCCUGGCGGGUGAGAAGCUCCGAUGGGGUUUGAGCCGAGCGAAGCGAGACAAUAUGCCGAAGGCAUAGCCCGAAGGGAACGGCGUAGCCGUAUAAUCCCUCUAGUUACGCCG